CCGUGCUAACUGGGGAGAUAGCGGUGCCCUGUAACCUGCAAUCCGCUACAGCAGGAGUGAUGCUUGUAUGAGGGAAUAAUUGGUAGAGCCAGCCCUUUGUAAGUGGUUAUGAGAAUCGGGUCUUAUGCAAUAGAAGUUUGUGAAUCGUGUCAGGUCCUGACGGAAGCAGCACUAAACAAAUGUACUAUGUGCCAUGAGGAAGCCUAGUUUGAGCAAACUACAAAGGUAACGUCUGUUAAUUGUUUUCAAGUGCAAGUGCACGG
rfam:Clostridiales bacterium GWD2_32_19 gwd2_scaffold_787, whole genome shotgun sequence.